rnacentral:rRNA from 1 species
AGCAGCCGCGGUAAUUCCAGCUCCAAUAGCGUAUAUUAAAGUUGUUGCAGUUAAAAAGCUCGUAGUUGAAUUUUGGAUUCUUCCAAUUGGUCCAUCUUUUAGAUGAGUACUGGUUGUGUGGGGUCUAUCCGCUUGGUGAUACGUAAUGUCCUUUAUUGGAUGUUGCGGGUAGUCAGGACCUUUACCUUGAAAAAUUAGAGUGUUUAAAGCAGGCUUAUGCCGGAAUACAUUAGCAUGGAAUAAUAGAAUAGGACGAAGUUGUUUUAUUUUGUUGGUUUCUAGGUACAACCGUAAUGAUUAAUAGGGAUAGUUGGGGGCAUUAGUAUUCAAUUGGUCAGAGGUGAAAUUCUUGGAUUUAUUGAAGACUAACUACUGCGAAAGCAUUUGCCAAGGAUGUUUUCAUUAAUCAAGAACGAAAGUUAGGGGAUCGA